rnacentral:rRNA from 1 species
GACGAACGCUGGCGGCGUGCUUAACUCAUGCAAGUCGAACGGAAAGGCCCCUUUGGGGGUCCUCGAGUGGCAAACGGGUGAGUAACACGUGAGUAACCUGCCCUUGACUUCGGGAUAACUUCAGGAAACUGGGGCUAAUACCGGAUAGGAAUCCUUGCUGCAUGGUGGGGGUUGGAAAGCUUCGGCGGUUUUGGAUGGACUCGCGGCUUAUCAGCUUGUUGGUGGGGUAGUGGCUUACCAAGGCUUUGACGGGUAGCCGGCCUGAGAGGGCGACCGGCCACAUUGGGACUGAGAUACGGCCCAGACUCCUACGGGAGGCAGCAGUGGGGAAGAUUGCACAAUGGGCGGAAGCCUGAUGCAGCAACGCCGCGUGCGGGAUGACGGCCUUCGGGUUGUAAACCGCUUUCAGCAGGGGCGAAGCUUGUGGUGACGGUACCUGCAGAAGAAGCACCGGCUAACUACGUG